AUAUAAAAUUACUGCUUAUGUUCUAUGUUACACUACCUUCAUUAUUUACGGAAAAUUAAUUACUAUUUAGGUCGUAAGUUACACAUCCGACAAUUUUGUAUGGAUUUUAUCAGAUUAUUUCUAGUUUUAAGUGGCAUAACUGACUACUUUAAAGAGACUUUGUAUUAUUUAUACCUGCUGAAUGUUUCACACUUAUCUAAACUUAUGAUUUGUAAUGAAGUAGUAGUAUUGAGCACUUGCCCUUGCACUUGUAUAAGCCGUAACGCUUUAGCCACAUACGCCUUAGAGUGCACCAGAAUCGCCGAUUCCAGAGCAUAAUGAAGAUGAUUUAAUCCAGUUGCAAUAUUUACUCGGAGAUGUUUUUAAUGACGAAAAUGAAAAUGGCAAUUGUGACGAGGAUGUUUCACCGAUUCCAGGUGAAGAAGAAAUUAUACCACCAUCAUCAGCAGAUUUAAAAAAAUAUGAAAUUUCUACUAUAAGACCAAAUAUUGCUAGUUCAAGUGCAGUUAACGUUGCUGUAAUUGGAAAUCUUGAUGUAAAGUUAGAAAACUUCCCUGAAAUGCCUACAGAAAUAGAUAACCUGACGAGCAGAUCUCCUCGUAUCUUAUCAGGUAUUAUAGAGGUAGAAUCUACCGCAGGAUAAAUUUCCAGGCAUGCAUAAUAUUAUCCUUACAUCAUUUCGUGUGAUAGAUACUACUGUUUUAGAUUCAGAAAAUAAUCCACAAAAUGCGUCUGAUACACCAGUUCCUUCUCCUAUUCACUCAUCUCAUCAUAAUUGCAAUAGCCAAUUCUGCUCGAAUUGUUCGCCUAUUCAGAAUGAUUCUACAUAUCCAGAUUUUGAUGCUCCAACGCCAUCAACGGUUGCAUCUAUUGGCGGCCCUUACACGCCUUCUACAAGCAAGCCACGUAAAAAAACUUAUAAAACUGACGAGAGCAAAAAAAGAAAAGUCCAUAAAGAAAAUUGUACUGUCUAUAAUUGCGGUGAUAAAACAGGGAAAUGCUAUAUGUGGCACGAAGGCAUUGCAAAACGUGGAUCUAAUGAAGUGUCUAGUUGUCUGUACAAUUUUAUAAAAGAACAUGCUCAAAAAGGUGUCGAGGAAUUUCGCUUUUGGUCUGACAACUGUGGCGGUCAAAACCGAAAUCGCAUUGUUUUUACAUUGUAUAUGCUCGCAGCCAGAGAAUUUAAUGUCACUAUCACUCAUCGAUUUUUAGAAAAAGGUCAUACUCAAAACGAGGUUGAUAGCGUCCACUCCGUGAUAGAAAGAGCUAGUGUGCGUAAAAUGAUUUAUGUUCCUGAGGAGUGGUACUGCUUAGUUCGUUGGGCGAAGUCAGAAGGUGAGCCAUAUGUUGUUUAUGAAAUGGGCACGAGUGAUCUUUAUAAUAUCAAAAAGUUGUUAAAAACUAAAUAUUGGGCAAAGAACAUAUCUAAUGAAAAAGUGCAAUGGAACGUCUUAGGGAAGUGAAGGUGAAUAAAACAGAAUUCGACAGGCUUGAAUAUAAAUAACAAAUUGGCCAAUUUCCAAAAACAAUUGUGGUUGUUAAGUGUCCAACUCGCAACAAUACACAGCGAUUAGCAAAAGAAUUUCAACUCAUGAAUGCUUAUGAUGGACCACUUCCCUUGACCUAUGCUAAACACAAAGAUUUAGUCGAUUUGUGCAAUAGUGGUAUAAUCCCGGAAAAAUACCACCAAUUUUAUAAGGCUCUCACUCACCAGGAGAAAGGCCAAAAGAAAAAAAGAAACGUGCAAGGUGAUUCAUAUACUGAUAGUGAUACUGAUUAAAGGUCGCGUUUCUUCUUCUUUAAAGUGCAAUCCUUUUUGCUAAUUAAUGACAUAUUUUGUUGACUAUUCGUUUAAUAGUAAUCUGUGAUUUAAUGUUGAUUUGAAUCAAUAAUAUAUGUAAUAUAUAUAUAUUAUUUUGUUUUUUCUAGAUCAAUAUAUUUCUCAUAUGUUGGAAUAAAUCAUAUAUCAAUUAAAA